rnacentral:rRNA from 1 species
CAUAACCUCCUGGGAAACUGGGGAUAAUACCGGAUAACGCAUAUGUGCUGGAAUGCUUUAUGCGUAAAACGGAUUCGUCCGCCCAAGGAUGGGUCUGCGGCCUAUCAGGUAGUAGUGGGUGUAAUGUACCUACUAGCCAACAACGGGUACGGGUUGUGAGAGCAAGAGCCCGGAGAUGGAUUCUGAGACAUGAAUCCAGGCCCUACGGGGCGCAGCAGGCGCGAAAACUUUACAAUGCGGGAAACCGUGAUAAGGGAACACCGAGUGCCGGCAUCAUAUGCUGGCUGUCCAGAUGUGUAAAGUACAUCUGUUAGCAAGGGCCGGGCAAGACCGGUGCCAGCCGCCGCGGUAACACCGGCGGCCCGAGUGGUGACCGUUAUUAUUGGGUCUAAAGGGUCCGUAGCCGGUUUGGUCAGUCCUCCGGGAAAUCUGAUAGCUUAACUGUUAGGCUUUCGGGGGAUACUGCCAGGCUUGGAACCGGGAGAGGUAAGAGGUACUACAGGGGUAGGAGUGAAAUCUUGUAAUCCCUGUGAGACCACCUGUGGCGAAAGCGUCUUACCAGAAAAGGUUCUACAGUGAGAGGACGAUAAGCUCGGGGCACGAACACGAUUAUAUACACCGGUAGUCUCAGCCGUGAACUAUGCUCGCUAUAUGUCAAGCAUGGCGCGACCCUGUCUGGUGCCCUAAGGAAUCCCCGUAGCGAGCCACCUGGUGAAUACCGCCCCACGAUGAAAAUUAUUAGAAAUAUCGGGGGAGGAACACAAACAGCUGGGGCUGCUGCUUAUUAGUUCUCAACAACGUCGAACUCAUCCCGGGCGGACAGUAAAUAGAUGCAGCUGAAACAUCCCUGCAUGCUUAGAAAGGGCAUGACAU